rnacentral:rRNA from 1 species
UUGACCUCGGAUCAGUAGAUC